rnacentral:ribozyme from 1 species
CGCCCAGCAACUCCUAUCCCUACCUUCUCGUGGUACCGGCCGGAAACUACGAGCAACCUUAGGGAAGAUCGGGUAACCAACCCCGGUGGAAACUUUGGUCGUAGGCUGACAGGGAAGA